GAAGAGUUGAAUUUGAAAGCACAGAGCAGCAAAAGAUAGAAGCACUGAGAGGCUCUAAAGUUAGGAAGUUUUGCUGGAGAGGCAAGUGCUAUAAUUUCUAGACUGUUCUCCAUCUUAGCUAACUGAAUACAAAACUCUUCUUUGCUUACAGAGGAUAAGUAGGAAAGGAUGGUACUCCAUCUGAGGCAUGCCUCAUUAUCUAACCAAAGCCACUUUCUUUUCACUAAUGACAUGGUAAUGACUGUGUACAUCUUGAAAUUAUACCACAAAAAUCAGCCCUCUUCCCACUGUUCUGAACACAUGAUAAAUGUAUUAAAUGUAUUGGGCAGUAACUCAUGCAGUGUAUUUUCCUCAAGGCUUUAUGCAAGCAUUAACUCAUCUUCAUAACAAUUCCAUGAGCUAGGAACUAUUCAUAUCCCCAUUUUACAGAAGACCGACACAGACUCUUCCUAACAUAUUCUGUGGAAGCCUGUUUAUCACUACAAAGGGAAAUCUUGGCAUUGCAGAGAAGGGAAGUAGGUACCAAUGCAAUUACCAGAAAUAGGCUCAAAUUGUGCAGAUUGUCUUGAUAAGCGCUGUGUGAAGUGAAGAUGGGAUGAAGGAAGCCUUAAUCCUCAUCCUAAAGGACCCCUUUCUAUCUUAUACAGUAGGAAAUGUGACUCCUGAAAGAAGAAAUUCUGAGUAAGUAGAAGUUUUGAGAAAAUGAAUCUAAUCUCUAGCUCUGAUUAUCUAGUUAUAUUCAUUUCAUAGACAUAUUCUACUUGGGAAUCUGUAACUCUCUUCUCAGACUUGGCUGGAUCUGUCUUCUGUUUCUCUAAAUAUUUAUUUUUAUUAUGUCAGGGAGAUAAAUGGUCACAUUAUGACUCAAUCCUGGAUGUCAACUACCUAUGACGGGUACUUUCUUGGAGCUUUGGAAGCUAGACCAGGUGUCUGUGGGACAUCAUACAGGCUUUGAGACAUUAUUUUCUGGUGCUGAUAUACUUUCAUUCCAUGGCUCAGUCUCUUAACCACUCUCAUAAUCUUUCCAUGAGUCCAACAAACCAGAGAGACAAUCUAUACCAUUUGCAACCAUAAGCGCCCGAUAAAGCAAACUUUUUGUGAGGAAGAGGGGGACUGUAGGAUGGUAGUCAUCUAUGCACGAAGAAGCUCUGGCACCAGUUUCUGUAAUAUUUUAAGAAACUCUAGUGUGCAGAAUGGACUUAAAGGAUUCAAAGUGACAGAAAUAUAGAAUAAUUUAGGAUAUAACACCAAAAGAUCAGGAAGUCUAAAUCCAUCUCUAAUCAUGAACUAUUAUGAAACUGGUAGCCUAGGACAAAUUUCUUUAUAACUGACAUGAGACAGACUAUCAUUACUCUCAUACUCUGCCAACCCCAUCCUCAAAACCUGGCUAAUUCAGAAAAUCUCCAUAAGAGCAGAAGAGGGAGAUAAUGCAUUAAAUAAGGAAAAAAGGGAUGGUGGGAUGGGACUGAAAAAGGAUAGGACUGACAUGAAAAUUUAAAAAAAAAACUGGGAAGAAGGGAAAAUUUACAAAAAGAGAAAAUGAAAAAAGGAAGAAAGAAGGGAGUAGUAAAUGUUAUAUAAUACAACCAAUGAAGGGAAGAAUAUAAUUACAGUCAUUCAUGUAUUUAACAAAGACUUAUCAAGUAUUUAUUAAAUGUCAGGCACUGCGGCUUACAGGCCUUAAUGAUCCACAGUCUAGUUGGGCAAAUAAAUACAUAAAGGUAUAAUUAUAGCACCAUAUUAUAGAGAUACACACAAAAUACCCUGGAAAUACAGAGAAAAGAAGAAGUCACUCUGUCAGAGGCCGGGUGAGAGGGAGAGCAUAAACAUCAUACUCAACUCACUGACAUUUACACACAGUCAAAUUCAUUCUAGAUUUAUCUGAUAUCGCCUUCUGGGAGAGAAUUCUGUAACUCACUCCUCCUUCUCUUCUUAAUCUGGAUAAGGCCUUUCAACUUCUCCACUUCUACCCUGUGAUUUUGAUUAAAGUGACAAUUCCUAGAGUAACAGUAUUAUGAAAGCCAGAGACAAUUCUGGAUAGCUGAUAUUUUACCACCUACACAAAAAAGCCACUAAAUUAUUACAAAGAACAUGUUAACAUCCUCUUUUAAGUUAAUACUGAUAAAUAGCUAAGAAGAUGAAGUUUUAAUUUCUACUUUUCAUGGAGUGCAGUGGUACAAUUUCAGCUCAUUGCAACCUCAACCUGCUGGACUCAAGCGAUCCUCCUCCCUCAGCCUCCCAAGUAACUGGGGCUACAGAUGCGUGCCACCAUGCCCCACUAAUUUUUCAUUUUUUGUAGAGAAAGGGUUUUGCCACGUUGCCCAGGCUGGUCUCGAACUCCUGGGCUUAAGCGAUCCUCCCACCUCCGCCUCUCAAAGUGCUAGGAUUACAGGCAUGAGCUACUGUGCCUGGCCUCAAAUUUGAUUUUUAUAUUCUACUAGUUUGAUCCACUAGAUCAAAGUUAAACAUCUAACAUAAGUGACUAAUAGGGCUAAGUGUUAAAUGUUAGUGUUUAAGAGUACAGAUUAUAAACGACUGCCUGGGUUCAUAACUCAUCUUCAUCACUUCACUGGCUAUGUGACCUUAGGCAAGUUAAUUAACUUCUCUGAAUGUAGGUUUCUUCAUUUAUAAAAUAGGGAUUAAUAGCAGCUCCAACUUGUGGGUUAUUUUUAAAAUUAAAAUACAUAAAGUAGUUACUAAAUGACAACACCUCUCUAUUCUUAUAAUAGAAAUGUGUAAAAUUUUUACUAUAGAACUAAAGAGACUGUUGGUAAAAACUGAUGUCUAAAUUAUGUAACAAAGGACUAUAAUUUAAAAUUUUUAAUUAGCUUACUUUUAAUAUAGUGAGUUAAAAUUUAUAUUUUUGUUUAGAAAAUCUGAGGCACUGUUUAUGCUACCUAAUUAGAUUUCUGAUUGAGGUAAAUAUAGAUUUAAGGAGAGAAAGUAUAACCUAAUGGAUGUAAAUAAUCUAUACUAAUUUGACAUACAAUAUUCAUAUCAAAAUAAAUCAAUUUCUUAUAAAUUUUUUUAGCUUUGUUUUUAGGAGCAUAGCAUAUAUCAAUUCCAUAGAUUCCAAUAUAAAUAUGGAUAUAAAUGGCACCCAGUGCCUACCAUUAUGACCUAUGUGCUUUUCUCACUAAAAAUUAAAGAAAAGGAUGGGUGUGGUGGCUCACACUUGUAAUCCCAGCACUUUGGGAGGCAAGGCAGGCAGAUGACUUGAGCCCAGGAAUUCGAGACCAGCUGGGCAACAUGGCAAAACCCCAUCUCUACCAAAAAUACAAAAAAUUGGCCAGGCACGUUGGCACACACCUGUGGUCCUAACUA
rnacentral:lncRNA from 10 species